GACGUAGGGGGCGAGCGUUGUCCGGAUUCAUUGGGCGUAAAGCGCGCGUAGGCGGCUGCGCAAGUCGGUUGUGAAAUUCCGGGGCUCAACCCCGGAACUGCGUCCGAUACUGCGUGGCUAGAGGUAGGUAGGGGAGAUCGGAAUUCCUGGUGUAGCGGUGAAAUGCGCAGAUAUCAGGAGGAACACCGGUGGCGAAGGCGGAUCUCUGGGCCUUACCUGACGCUCAGGCGCGAAAAGCUAGGGGGAGCGAACAGG
rnacentral:rRNA from 1 species